rnacentral:rRNA from 1 species
UCCUACGGGAGGCUGCAGUGGGGAAUCUUGGACAAUGGGGGCAACCCUGAUCCAGCGACGCCGCGUGGGUGACGAAGGCCUUCGGGUUGUAAAGCCCUUUUGUCGGGGACGAUGAUGACGGUACCCGGCGAAUCAGCACCGGCUAACUCCGUGCCAGCAGCCGCGGUAAGACGGAGGGUGCUAGCGUUGUUCGGAAUUACUGGGCGUAAAGGGCGCGUAGGCGGCCUGAUCAGUCGGGUGUGAAAGCCCGGGGCUCAACCCCGGAACGGCACCCGAGACGGUCAGGCUGGAGACCGGGAGAGGAGGGUGGAAUAGCCAGUGUAGAGGUGAAAUUCGUAGAUAUUGGCUGGAACACCGGUGGCGAAAGCGGCUCUCUGGCCCGGUUCUGACGCUGAGGCGCGAAAGCGUGGGGAGCAAACAGGAUUAGAUACCUAGUAGUCAU